AGGAUCUGCCCCAGGGAUGAUUUGGGGGCAGCUCUCCAGCCUGUUAUGCAGGAGGUUGGAUUAGAUCAGCAGGUCUCAAACUUCUGUACUGGGGAUCCCUUUCACACAGCAAGACUCUGAGGGUGACCCCCCCCCCCCUUAUAAACUAAAAACACUUUUGUAUAUAUUUAAUGUGGGUACAAGUGUUGGCAAACCACGCUGUCCCUGCAUUGAACCUUGGUAUUGUUCCCCUCCUAGUACGGUACAGUAGGUACACUCUGUUAUGCAAGUCUUAGUUACACGGAAGACACAAGACAAUGGCCCAUUGAGGAAAGCCAGCCUUAACCAAUUAGUAGGAAAUAAACAAGUAUAUCAAUCAUGUAGUAAUGAGUAACCUGUCUGUAAGAAAGGGAAUAAAAGAAAAGGUCCGGGACUUUCCUAGGACGCCUCUCUGCAGCACCGUCUCUGUUUCCCGUUACUACAUCUGGUGACCCCGACGUGAUCCAGACACAAGACCCCCGACUCAUCGGCUGGCUUAGCCUUGGUGCACCACAGCGCAACGCGCUCCCUCAUUGCUGCGGUCUUACAACACAUUCGAACCCACAAGCCGACCCCAGGACCAGAGCUCCCUCCCUCGUGGAAAACUGACCUGCAAAAGAUGCUUCAGGAAUACGGCCUUCAGAUAGCCCCAGAAAAGUUUUUAUCUAGAGCCCAGCACCAUUAUCGACAGACCGAGCCCCUUCCAGCGCCGAAGGUGAUAUAUCGCAAGCUGCCAGGACCAGAGUGGAGCCUGCCCGUGCCGCUCAUUACCUGGGGCCGGGGCUACGCAGCGGUGUCAACUGAAACCGGCCCUGUGUGGGUUCCCGCUCGCUUUGUGAAGCCGUGGAAAGAUGGCCUGGCAUCAGGGGCUAAAGAAUCCCAUUCCGGAUUUCAGUCUGACCCUGACGGAUAGGGUGGACAAGAUCGACAAGGCCCGAAAGCGUGGCACACCCAACGCUGCCAUAACUUGGGGACAGGUCAAAGCUUUAUCGCGGCAGGCUGAACGUGUAUUAGAACAAACUAAGGCGGAUAAGACUACAGAAAAUUAUGUUCUUGCGCUAGUAGCCAGCUUAAAUGCUAAUUCUCUUUGUUGGAUUAUGUACAUUUGUGUGACCGUUCUGUGUUUGCCGCAAGGUGUUGCAAAAUCGAGCGGCUAUAGAUUAUUUACUUAUGCUGCAUCAUUAUGGGUGUGAAAAGGUUAAUGAUAUGUGUUGCUUUAAUAUUUCUGAUCACCAUCAUUCAGUUGAAAAUCAACUCAAGAUUAUUAAAAAUUUAACAGAUCAAAUCAGAUACAAUCCAGACCCCCUCGCGGGAUGGUGGGAUUGGCUUUCCUCAUGGCUUCCUAACAUUGGGUGGUUGCAUCAGCUUGUCACCUUUGGAGGACUCACUGUACUCUUGCUCGUGCUAUUUUGCUGCGGCAUUCAGUGUGUCCCCUCCUUUGUUUCUCUCUUUAUCAAGGGCUGUCCGUGGACCUACCCAGGGCCCCCUCAAAAGUAUUAGUCAUAUUUAACAAAACAAAAAGGGGGAGAUGUGGGUACAAGUGUUGGCAAACCACGCUGUCCCUGCAUUGAACCUUGGUAUUGUUCCCCUCCUAGUACGGUACAGUAGGUACACUCUGUUAUGCAAGUCUUAGUUACACGGAAGACACAAGACAAUGGCCCAUUGAGGAAAGCCAGCCUUAACCAAUUAGUAGGAAAUAAACAAGUAUAUCAAUCAUGUAGUAAUGAGUAACCUGUCUGUAAGAAAGGGAAUAAAAGAAAAGGUCCGGGACUUUCCUAGGACGCCUCUCUGCAGCACCGU